AGAGGGAGGGGGAGGAUUGUUUUACAUGCACACAUGCAUGUUUGCGUCCUUACACUGCCAUGUGGGGCCGUGUUGCCAAGGGCGAAUGGUUACAAAGGUCGACUUAAGGAUACAGACGGGAAACAGCUGAAGAACCAAGCCAACAUGUGCAAGAGGCCUCAAUGAGUCGCAAAUGAAAGCCGAACACAAGAUUGUGGUCAUGCAACGAAAGCGAGACGACAGCCCAGCAGCCCAGCAGCCCACCAGGAGCGUCUGGCCAAGCGGCCCUGCACCACCUCUGGCUCUCAAGCGUGGAGGUGAGGAACCAUCCCAGCCGGAGGUACAUGCUGCCCAGGCAGAAAGGAGCACCAGCCUCCAGCCGUCCACCUCUGGCUCUCAGCAUUACCCUCUAGAGCCACAGAUAAGUAACAUCCCCCCGCUGUCCACCUCAGACUCAGAUUCAGAAUAUGAUUCAGACUAUGAUUCAGAUUCUGAUGUAGAGGUAGAUUUAGAUGUGGAUUCAGAUUCUGACUGAUUUCCAGGAUGAGAGGAGCUCCAGCCCCCCGGUGUCCAACUCUGCUGUGCAGGUGUACCAGCGAGCGAGGGCUUCCCAGCGAUUCUCCACCCCAGGGGAGGUAGCCCAAGGCCAGCCAGGGACGAGCUCCGGACCUGAGCCCUCCCCCCGCCCGGCAUGCGGAAUGCCAGGCAGCUAGAGCUAGUGGAGCCAAUCAGUCUGUUCAGCUACGGAGGUGUUCGGGUCGAGGAAACAGGGAGUCUACCCAUCGUGCACGUCCCGUCUUGAUUUUCACUCUCCGAUGCUGUGGAGGUACUGUGAUUGGUUUGGGCGCUUUGGGCUGCUUCUCCUUACAAACCUGAGAUGUAACCUUCCUCUCAGUGUCUAGCUGACUCUAUAAGUCAAGGAUUUCUGAAUCUUUCUGUACAGCUCUUUAUUUUCCUCCUUUCAAAAAACAAAAAAAGAACGAAAAAAACUUUACUAUAUAGAAACAGUAGUGGUAAGGUUAGGACUCUAUAAGUUAAGGAUUUCUAAAUAUUUCUGUACAGCUCUUUAUUUUCCUCCUUUCAAAAAAACAAAAGACCCAAAAAAAAACCUUUACCUUGUAGAAAUAGUAGUGGUUAGGUUAGGACUCUGUAAGUUAAGGAUUUCUAAAUCUUUCUGUACAGCUCUUCAUUUUCCUCCUUUCAAAAAACAAAAAAAGGCCAAAAAAAAACCAACAACAUUCUAUGUAGAUACACUUAAGAUAUGUUUAGGAUUCUUGAGUAUUCUGCUUGUAGUUUAAGUAUUUCUAAAGCUUUUGUACCGCUACUUGUUUUCUUGCUUUCAAAAAAACAGAUGUUUUUGUAAAGUUUGAAAACAGAUGGAAAGGGCCUUGAAGAGGGUCUUCAGAAAUGUUCCAUUAAAGCUGUGUUUAAUUGUAUUAUAUUGACUGAUGCACAGAAAGAGAAAUUCUUCCAUAAUCCUCUUUUACAAUAUCUAUUUUAUUGUUUCUGUCUCCAUUUAUGAUAUAAAGGGACAUUAAAUUUAAAAAUAACAAUUCAUAGACCAGUUUAUGCUGUUGUUAUAUUUGCAUGGAACAUUUCCAAAGGGUCAGGGAUCCUCUGCUGCUGCACUGAACACGUAACAUAUGGCGGAUUGUUUGCUUUUUUCAUGUGUGUGGCUACACAUGUAGCACAUUUAGGGAUUGCUGUGUUUUUAGUUUCUGGACCCAGCACAGCUCUGUGAAAUUUGAAGUUGUUGACUGAAAUAUCUGUUUGAUGCAAACAGAUAUUUCCCCUAUUCAUGAGCCAUUUUGGUAUAAAUUUUGUAUAAAAUGUGUUUGCACACCUUAUGCAAAAAAAAUCUGCAUAUGUUUCAGGUUCAGUGCAGCAACAGAGACAGGGUAGGGUGGACCCUCUUCAAGCCCUUCACCUCUGUUGUCAUUGUAACUGUUGGGUAUUCAGCAAAAGAAUUAAAGUACAUAUCUGAGGAGAUUGUAAAAGAAGGAGAUGACUUUAGGAGGGCCUUCGGGAAAUGCUCCAUCCAAAUAAUUGUUAUUAUUAUUAUUAUUAUUAUUAUUAUUAUUAUUAUUAUUAUUAUUAUUAUUAUUAUUAUUAUUAUUAUUAUUGUUGUUGUUGUUGUUGUUGUUGUUGUUGUUGUUGUUGUUAUUGUAAUUCUUCCAGUGACAUUCACAACAUCAUAUUGACUUGUUACAUCUCACUGUAUUAACUGGUGAGAUCUUGAAACUAUUCUAAAACUACAGUCCAGUGUUUGAACACAAUUUACUGCCUAAUCAAAAAGAUCAGACAGUCAUAUUAUUAUGGAGCAUUUCCAAAGGGUCGAGGUUAGGGAGGGUCAGACCCUCCUAGAGUCUUUAUCCUCUUUUACAAAUGUUUCUGUUUGAUGUCAUUAUUGUUAACAAGUCUUUUCUUUAGUUGAUUGCAAUUUUUGUCAUAAAAUCUACCAUAAAAAUGUCUAAAUUCUUCCGACAAGAACAAACAAAUCGUUUCAUCCAUCAACUCAAAAAAGUCAUUUUAAAAGUAUUUUGAAAAAUAACUGGAAAGAGCUUUAAGAGGGUCUUCAGAAAUGUUCCUUUCAAAUCUGUUUACAUCUUUGUAAAACUUAAUAUGAUGACUCAAAAACAGCAGAAGAAAUUCUUCUGUAACUUUAAUAUACAAUGUCUAUUUUUAAUUUUACUUCUUGAUUUAUGACAUUUUUAGAAAAAUGACCUGAAUUUAUUGAGCAGUUUUCGGUCAUUAUUGUUUGUGAUACUUGAAUGGAACAUUUCCAAAGGGUGGAGGUUAGGGAGGGUCAGACCCUCCUGAAGCUCUUUACCUCUGAUACUCAUGUCAGUAUUACAUAUCAUCACUAUUAAUGGUGACUUUUCCUUCUGUUGUUUUAAUAUCUUCAAGGAAAAUUCAUUCAGAUCCUAGAAAACAGAGCAAAGUUUAAAAUGUUCCUCAGUAAUUGUAACAAUUUGUUUCUGUGAAUAUUCAGCAAGGGAAUUAAAGUACAUAUUUGAAGAGAUUGUAAAAGCAGGAGAUGACUUUGGGAGGGUCUUCAGGAAGUGCUCCAUCCAAAUUAUUAUUAUUAUUAUUAUUGUCAUUAUUAUUGUAAUUCUUUCAGUCACGUUCAUAAUAUCAUGUUGACUUGUUACAUCUCAGCACAUUAACUGGUGAGAUCUUGAAACUGUUCUCAAACUACAGUCCAGUGUUUGAACACAAUUUACUGCCUAAUCAAAAAGAUCAGACAGUCAUAUUAUUAUGGAGCAUUUCCAAAGGGUCGAGGUUAGGGAGGGUCAGACCCUCCUGGAGUCUUUUUCCUCUUUUACAAAUGUUUCUGUUUGAAGUCAUUAUUGUUGAUAAGUCUUUUCUUGUAAUUGAUCAUAACUUUUGUUGGAAAUCCUCAAAGAAAAAAGAUCUAAAUUCUUCACAAAAAAACAAAAGCAAAAACAAAAAAACGAACAAAUGAACAGAUUGUUCUUGUGCGUUUGAUAAAACUGCACCUCUCCUGCUUCUCCAGUCAUUCAGUUGAGUAUUCUUCUUCUAGUGACUUAGAGAUUCCUAUUUUCCUGACUGUUUGUGUUCUCCUGUGUAGAAACUGUGUUCCUCGCAACUAACUCUGUCCUCCUGAGCUCCAGUGUUUCAUGUGCUCAGCCUUCAGCUCUACCUUGGUCACUCCAGCUGUCCACCACCAAACCAGCCAGUCGUCAACCUCCACUGAACUUUCUGACUUUUGUUCAAAUAAAUCACUCUUUUUACUUUACACCCCUCUAUGUUCUCUUGUCCAACUAAACUAAUGUACAUAUUUUGAUAACAAGACUGUUGAAGCAAGAGAUGGAAGUGCUCAACUAAAUGUUUUCAUUGUUGAGUGUGUCAGUGCAAAAGCAUUGAAACACACUGAUUAGAUUGAUUACUGCUCCUCAAGAUUAUUCUUACAGAUUGUUCUGACAUGAUUUUCAGCAGGGAUCUCAUCCCACAGUGUUGAGAAAGCUCAUACAAAUUAAAUAUCAAUGGUAUAUGGUGCUUUUCCUUCAGUUAGGGUUUGUGAAAUAUGCUGGUUUUUCAAAAUAAAAUGUACUUAUUUAAAUUAUA